GGGCUGGUAGUUCACCGGUAGAAUGCGCCCUUGGCUAGGGUGAGGCACCGGGUUCAAUUACUCAAAGGUCAAACCUUUGGUUUGAGAUUCCCGGCCAGUCCA
rnacentral:tRNA from 1 species